GAUCUCUGCCAUGCCACCCUGAAUAAGCCCGAUGUCUGAUCUUGGAAGCUAAGCAGGGUGAGGCCUGGUUAGUACUUGGAUGAGAGACCACCUAGGAAGACCAGGUGCUGUAGGCA
rnacentral:rRNA from 1 species